UACGUAGGGGGCAAGCGUUGUCCGGAAUCAUUGGGCGUAAAGCGCGUGUAGGCGGUCCGGUAAGUCCGCUGUGAAAGUCGGGGGCUCAACCCUCGGAUGCCGGUGGAUACUGUCGGGCUUGAGUACGGAAGAGGCGAGUGGAAUUCCUGGUGUAGCGGUGAAAUGCGCAGAUAUCAGGAGGAACACCAAUUGCGAAGGCGACACGCUGGGCCGUACCUGACGCUAAAGCGCGACAGCAUGGGGAGCAAACGGG
rnacentral:rRNA from 1 species